rnacentral:lncRNA from 1 species
AUCGAAAAGGAAAUUUUGGAUAUCUCUUCUCCUCGUCCCAAUCGUUUUGAUGCUGGUAUAUUCGUCGCUUUGGUCCUGGAGUCAGAAACCUGUGCUGUGAGCUACAACCCCGAUGCAAGGUAUGCACAUCAUUUUACAUUGCUUGUUUGUUGUUGCUUACAUUGUAUGUAAAUC